rnacentral:rRNA from 1 species
GAUGAACGCUGGCGGCGUGCCUAAUACAUGCAAGUCGAGCGAACGGACGAGAAGCUUGCUUCUCUGAUGUUAGCGGCGGACGGGUGAGUAACACGUGGAUAACCUACCUAUAAGACUGGGAUAACUUCGGGAAACCGGAGCUAAUACCGGAUGAUAUUUUGAACCGCAUGGUUCAAAAGUGAAAGACGGUCUUGCUGUCACUUAUAGAUGGAUCCGCGCUGCAUUAGCUAGUUGGUAAGGUAACGGCUUACCAAGGCAACGAUGCAUAGCCGACCUGAGAGGGUGAUCGGCCACACUGGAACUGAGACACGGUCCAGACUCCUACGGGAGGCAGCAGUAGGGAAUCUUCCGCAAUGGGCGAAAGCCUGACGGAGCAACGCCGCGUGAGUGAUGAAGGUCUUCGGAUCGUAAAACUCUGUUAUUAGGGAAGAACAUAUGUGUAAGUAACUGUGCACAUCUUGACGGUACCUAAUCAGAAAACCACGGCUAACUACGUGCCAGCAGCCGCGGUAAUACGUAGGUGGCAAGCGUUAUCCGGAAUUAUUGGGCGUAAAGCGCGCGUAGGCGGUUUUUUAAGUCUGAUGUGAAAGCCCACGGCUCAACCGUGGAGGGUCAUUGGAAACUGGAAAACUUGAGUGCAGAAGAGGAAAGUGGAAUUCCAUGUGUAGCGGUGAAAUGCGCAGAGAUAUGGAGGAACACCAGUGGCGAAGGCGACUUUCUGGUCUGUAACUGACGCUGAUGUGCGAAAGCGUGGGGAUCAAACAGGAUUAGAUACCCUGGUAGUCCACGCCGUAAACGAUGAGUGCUAAGUGUUAGGGGGUUUCCGCCCCUUAGUGCUGCAGCUAACGCAUUAAGCACUCCGCCUGGGGAGUACGACCGCAAGGUUGAAACUCAAAGGAAUUGACGGGGACCCGCACAAGCGGUGGAGCAUGUGGUUUAAUUCGAAGCAACGCGAAGAACCUUACCAAAUCUUGACAUCCUUUGACAACUCUAGAGAUAGAGCCUUCCCCUUCGGGGGACAAAGUGACAGGUGGUGCAUGGUUGUCGUCAGCUCGUGUCGUGAGAUGUUGGGUUAAGUCCCGCAACGAGCGCAACCCUUAAGCUUAGUUGCCAUCAUUAAGUUGGGCACUCUAAGUUGACUGCCGGUGACAAACCGGAGGAAGGUGGGGAUGACGUCAAAUCAUCAUGCCCCUUAUGAUUUGGGCUACACACGUGCUACAAUGGACAAUACAAAGGGCAGCGAAACCGCGAGGUCAAGCAAAUCCCAUAAAGUUGUUCUCAGUUCGGAUUGUAGUCUGCAACUCGACUACAUGAAGCUGGAAUCGCUAGUAAUCGUAGAUCAGCAUGCUACGGUGAAUACGUUCCCGGGUCU